GACGUAGGGGACGAGCGUUGUCCGGAUUCACUGGGCGUAAAGCGCGCGUAGGCGGUUACGUAAGUCGGUUGUGAAAAUCCGGGGCUCAACCCCGGACCUGCAUCCGAUACUGCGUGGCUAGAGGUAGGUAGGGGAGAGCGGAAUUCCUGGUGUAGCGGUGAAAUGCGCAGAUAUCAGGAGGAACACCGGUGGCGAAGGCGGAUCUCUGGGCCUUACCUGACGCUCAGGCGCGAAAGCUAGGGGAGCGAACAGG
rnacentral:rRNA from 1 species